rnacentral:rRNA from 1 species
AUUGAACGCUGGCGGCAGGCCUAACACAUGCAAGUCGAACGGUAACAGGAAGAAGCUUGCUUCUUUGCUGACGAGUGGCGGACGGGUGAGUAAUGUCUGGGAAACUGCCUGAUGGAGGGGGAUAACUACUGGAAACGGUAGCUAAUACCGCAUAACGUCGCAAGACCAAAGAGGGGGGCCUUCGGGCCUCUUGCCAUCGGAUGUGCCCAGAUGGGAUUAGCUAGUAGGUGGGGUAACGGCUCACCUAGUCGACGAUCCCUAGCUGGUCUGAGAGGAUGACAGGCACAACUGGACCGGGAAACGGUGCAGGACUCCUACGGGAGGAGGAGGGGGGAAAAAUGGAAAAAGGGGGGAAAGCCGGAGGCAGCAUGCCGCGUGUAUGAAGAAGGCCUUCGGGUUGUAAAGUACUUUCAGCGGGGAGGAAGGGAGUAAAGUUAAUACCUUUGCUCAUUGACGUUACCCGCAGAAGAAGCACCGGCUAACUCCGUG